rnacentral:misc_RNA from 1 species
GCAACUCCAAAAAUGAAAAAGAAUUUCUUUCACUCUCUAAUUCCAUUCACAAACCUUUGCUUCUUAAUCUUAUUACCUGCAUGUAACCCAAUAUCGGCUCCGGCGACUCGUUCGGAAUCUGAUCUGAGUUCUCUGACUCGGGAGCUGCUGGAGUCGGCGAGAGAGCCUGAGUUCUUCGAUUGGUUAAAACGGAUUAGGAGGAGAAUCCAUGAAUACCCAGAGCUUGCAUUUGAAGAGUACAACACGAGUGAAUUCAUAAGAUCGGAGCUUGACUCGCUUGGAAUUGAGUAUGUUUGGCCUAUCGCGAAGACUGGGUUGGUGGGUUCGAUUGGAACAGGGGUGGAGCCCUGGUUCGGUCUUAGAGCAGACAUGGAUGCCCUCCCUAUUCAGGAAUUGGUAGAGUGGGAUUACAAGAGCAAGAACAACGGCAAAAUGCAUGCUUGCGGCCAUGAUGCUCAUGUUACAAUGUUGCUUGGAGCAGCAAAGUUACUUCAAUGCAAGAAGGAUGAAUUGAAGGGCACUGUUAAGCUUGUAUUCCAACCAGCAGAAGAAGGUCGAGCUGGUGCUUACCAUAUGUUGAAAGAAGGAGCUCUUGAUAAUUUCCAAGCCAUUUUUGGACUACAUGUUGCACCUGAAAUGCCUGUUGGUUCAAUUGCUUCUAG